UACGGAGGAUCCAAGCGUUAUCCGGAUUCAUUGGGUUUAAAGGGUGCGUAGGCGGAAUGAUAAGUCAGUGGUGAAAGCCUGCAGCUUAACUGCAGAACUGCCAUUGAUACUGUCAAUCUUGAGUACAUUUGAUGUGGGCGGAAUGUGUCAUGUAGCGGUGAAAUGCUUAGAUAUGACACAGAACACCGAUUGCGAAGGCAGCUCACAAAACUGUAAACUGACGCG
rnacentral:rRNA from 1 species